GACGAACGCUGGCGGCGCGCUUAACACAUGCAAGUCGAACGGAAAGGCCUGCUUUCCCUUGUGGAUUGCGGGUACUCGAGUGGCGAACGGGUGAGUAACACGUGAGUGAUCUGCCCCCAACUUGGGUAUAAGCCUGGGAAACUGGGUCUAAUUCCCGAUAGGACUGCAGGGUGGUGCCUGUGGUGGAAAACGAUUUUCUAGUGGUUGGGGAUGAGCUCGCGGCCUAUCAGCUUGUUGGUGGGGUAAUGGCCUACCAAGGCGGCGACGGGUAGCCGGCCUGAGAGGGUGGACGGCGACAGUGGGACUGAGAGACGGCCCAGACUCCUACGGGAGGCAGCAGUGGGGAAUAUUGGACGAUGGGCGGAAGCCUGAUGCAGCGACGCCGCGUGGGGGAUGACGGCCUUCGGGUUGUAAACUCCUUUCGGCCGCGAGGAAGCCACCUGGUUGGAAGGGUGGUGACGGUAGUGGUAGAAGAAGCACCGGCUAACUACGUG
rnacentral:rRNA from 1 species